UCAUGGCAAGCGUUGUCCGGCCUGAGCUUGAUCCUGGCUCAGGACGAACGCUGGCGGCGUGCCUAAUACAUGCAAGUCGAGCGCAGGAAACCGGCGGAACCCUUCGGGGGGAAGCCGGUGGAAUGAGCGGCGGACGGGUGAGUAACACGUGGGCAACCUGCCUUUCAGACUGGGAUAACCCCGGGAAACCGGGGCUAAUACCGGAUGACCAGUCGGUUCGCAUGAACCGGCUGUAAAAGAGGGGAGUUUUCUCCUCUCACUGAAAGAUGGGCCCGCGGCGCAUUAGCUAGUUGGUAAGGUAGUGGCUUACCAAGGCGACGAUGCGUAGCCGACCUGAGAGGGUGAUCGGCCACACUGGAACUGAGACACGGUCCAGACUCCUACGGGAGGCAGCAGUAGGGAAUCAUCCGCAAUGGGCGAAAGCCUGACGGUGCAACGCCGCGUGAACGACGAAGGUUUUCGGAUCGUAAAGUUCUGUUGUGAGGGAAGAACACGUGCCGGUCAAACAGGCCGGCGCACAUGUGAGUCUGGUACGCUGCACUGAGAAA
rnacentral:rRNA from 1 species